CCAUAUCCCGGAUAUCUCCUCGGUGACCUCUGGAGCGCUGCCAGAUUGAGGCCAGCACACUUCAACACCAAUCAAGCCAAGAGCCAUGACACCCACAGGAUCAGAGAACUCACAUAUCCACCGACCUUGACCAGGGAACCUCAUCAAUACACUUCAAACAUCGAUCCGUUCUCAAGAUGCUGUCUCCAUUACUGCGAUUCAUCACAGUGCUCUCGGCAGACCAUCAGUCAGACACGCAGAUGUCAGGAGAAUGUGUCGUCGUCUCUUUCUCUCUCUCUUUCUUUCUUUCUCUCUUUCUUUCUUUCUUUCUCUUUCUCUCUCUAGACACAGCCCAGAAAUCUCACCAUCAAAACAAAAGCUGAGCCCACAAUGGGUCUCGUGUCUGACACCGCCAGGACGCCCGUUAUCUGCCCAGGCUGCCCGCGGGGGCCCUCGCUCAGGGGACUGCUCUCGGAGGUGUCAAUCAACCAGCCAGCCGCUUCUCUAGCUGGCGGAGGUCACUGCCAGAGGUCGCCACUGGGAGGGCCUGUCGACUGGAUCUCGUUAUCCGCCACUGAUACAAGUGACAAAUUGGAUCCCAGACAAGGGGAGAGGCGGAGAGGCAGUUGGAGUCGAGCGUCUUGACCCUGCCAAGUGCUUCCCCUCGCUUAAAAUGGAACAGGGGGCCGUGAG